rnacentral:rRNA from 1 species
AGGACUGCAAUGUGCAAGAGGUAAGUUUAGCAGAACAUUCUGGAAAGUAUAACCAUAGAGGGUGAUAGUCCCGUAUGCGAAAAACAAACCUUAGCUAGCAGUAUCCUGAGUAGGGCGGGACACGAGGAAUCCUGUCUGAAUCCGGGUCGACCACGAUCCAACCCUAAAUACUAAUACCAGAUCGAUAGUGCACAAGUACCGUGAGGGAAAGGUGAAAAGAACUGAGGUGAUCAGAGUGAAAUAGAACCUGAAACCAUUUGCUUACAAUCAUUCAGAGCCCUAUGUAGCAAUACAGGGUGAUGGACUGCCUUUUGCAUAAUGAGCCUGCGAGUUGUGGUGUCUGGCAAGGUUAAGCAAACGCGAAGCCGUAGCGAAAGCGAGUCUGAAUAGGGCGCUUAGUCAGAUGCUGCAGACCCGAAACGAAGUGAUCUAUCCAUGAGCAAGUUGAAGCUAGUGUAAGAACUAGUGGAGGACUGAACCCAUAGGCGUUGAAAAGCCCCGGGAUGACUUGUGGAUAGGGGUGAAAGGCCAAUCAAACUUCGUGAUAGCUGGUUCUCUCCGAAAUAUAUUUAGGUAUAGCGUUGUGUCGUAAUAUAAGGGGGUAGAGCACUGAAUGGGCUAGGGCAUACACCAAUGUACCAAACCCUAUCAAACUCCGAAUACCUUAUAUGUAAUCACAGCAGUCAGGCGGCGAGUGAUAAAAUCCGUCGUCAAGAGGGAAACAACCCAGACUACCAGCUAAGGUCCCUAAAUCUUACUUAAGUGGAAAACGAUGUGAAGUUACUUAAACAACCAGGAGGUUGGCUUAGAAGCAGCCAUCCUUUAAAGAAAGCGUAAUAGCUCACUGGUCUAGUGAUUUUGCGCGGAAAAUAUAACGGGGCUAAAGUAAGUACCGAAGCUGUAGACUUGCACACAACUUAGAUUAUUUAAGUUUAGAAUAUGAGAAACUAAGUUAUAUGUUUAGUUAUAUUUUUACUGAUUUUUAUAGAGUAAAGAUAGAAAUAAAACUUAGUAAAAUCAGUAAAAAUAUUCUUAGACUAAAGUUAAGUAGUUUAAGUUGUGUGCAAGUGGUAGGAGAGCGUUCUAUUUGCGUCGAAGGUAUACCGGUAAGGAGUGCUGGAGCGAAUAGAAGUGAGCAUGCAGGCAUGAGUAGCGAUAAUUAAUGUGAGAAUCAUUAACGCCGUAAACCCAAGGUUUCCUACGCGAUGCUCGUCAUCGUAGGGUUAGUCGGGUCCUAAGUCGAGUCCGAAAGGGGUAGACGAUGGCAAAUUGGUUAAUAUUCCAAUACCAACAUUAGUGUGCGAUGGAAGGACGCUUAGGGCUAAGGGGGCUAGCGGAUGGAAGUGCUAGUCUAAGGUCGUAGGAGGUUAUACAGGCAAAUCCGUAUAACAAUACUCCGAGAACUGAAAGGCUUUUUGAAGUCUUCGGAUGGAUAGAAGAACCCCUGAUGCCGUCGAGCCAAGAAAAGUUUCUAAGUUUAGCUAAUGUUGCCCGUACCGUAAACCGACACAGGUGGGUGGGAUGAGUAUUCUAAGGCGCGUGGAAGAACUCUCUUUAAGGAACUCUGCAAAAUAGCACCGUAUCUUCGGUAUAAGGUGUGGUUAGCUUUGUAUUAGGAUUUACUCCGAAAGCAAGGAAACUUACAACAAAGAGUCCCUCCCGACUGUUUACCAAAAACACAGCACUCUGCUAACUCGUAAGAGGAUGUAUAGGGUGUGACGCCUGCCCGGUGCUCGAAGGUUAAUUGAUGGGGUUAGCAUUAGCGAAGCUCUUGAUCGAAGCCCGAGUAAACGGCGGCCGUAACUAUAACGGUCCUAAGGUAGCGAAAUUCCUUGUCGGUUAAAUACCGACCUGCAUGAAUGGCGUAACGAGAUGGGAGCUGUCUCAAAGAGGGAUCCAGUGAAAUUGUAGUGGAGGUGAAAAUUCCUCCUACCCGCGGCAAGACGGAAAGACCCCGUGGACCUUUACUACAGCUUGACACUGCUACUUGGAUAAGAAUGUGCAGGAUAGGUGGGAGGCUUUGAGUAUAUGACGCCAGUUGUAUAUGAGCCAUUGUUGAGAUACCACUCUUUCUUAUUUGGGUAGCUAACCAGCUUGAGUUAUCCUCAAGUGGGACAAUGUCUGGUGGGUAGUUUGACUGGGGCGGUCGCCUCCCAAAUAAUAACGGAGGCUUACAAAGGUUGGCUCAGAACGGUUGGAAAUCGUUCGUAGAGUAUAAAGGUAUAAGCCAGCUUAACUGCAAGACAUACAAGUCAAGCAGAGACGAAAGUCGGUCUUAGUGAUCCGGUGGUUCUGUGUGGAAGGGCCAUCGCUCAAAGGAUAAAAGGUACCCCGGGGAUAACAGGCUGAUCUCCCCCAAGAGCUCACAUCGACGGGGAGGUUUGGCACCUCGAUGUCGGCUCAUCGCAUCCUGGGGCUGGAGCAGGUCCCAAGGGUAUGGCUGUUCGCCAUUUAAAGCGGUACGCGAGCUGGGUUCAGAACGUCGUGAGACAGUUCGGUCCCUAUCUGCCGUGGGCGUAAGAAGAUUGAAGAGAUUUGACCCUAGUACGAGAGGACCGGGUUGAACAAACCACUGGUGUAGCUGUUGUUCUGCCAAGAGCAUCGCAGCGUAGCUAAGUUUGGAAAGGAUAAACGCUGAAAGCAUCUAAGCGUGAAGCCAACUCUAAGAUGAAUCUUCUCUAAGCUCUCUAGAAGACUACUAGUUUGAUAGGCUGGGUGUGUAAUGGAUGAAAGUCCUUUAGCUGACCAGUACUAAUAGAGCGUUUGGCUUAUCUUUAAUAAAGCAU